GUCUAAGUACGUGCCGUAUUAAGGCGAAACCGCGAGUGGCUCCUAAAUUAGUUAUGGUUCCUUAGAUCCUACCGCACUGCUUGGAUAACUGUGGCAAUUCUAGAGCUAAUACAUGCAGCAGAGCUCCCACCCUCUGGAGACGAGCCCUUUUAUUAGACCAAAACCAAUCUGACCUCGUAUCUGUAUUAUGUGGCGACUCUGUAUAACUUUUUAGAAAGUCCCUGGGAGAUAUCUUCUAUCAUCUCCUUCUGUCUGAACAAGCGAG
rnacentral:ncRNA from 1 species